rnacentral:rRNA from 1 species
UACGUAGGGUGCAAGCGUUGUCCGGAAUUAUUGGGCGUAAAGAGCUCGUAGGCGGUUUGUCGCGUCUGCUGUGAAAACUCGGGGCUUAACUCCGGGCCUGCAGUGGGUACGGGCAGACUAGAGUGCGGUAGGGGAGACUGGAAUUCCUGGUGUAGCGGUGAAAUGCGCAGAUAUCAGGAGGAACACCGAUGGCGAAGGCAGGUCUCGUGGGCCACUACUGACGCUGAGAAGCGAAAGCAUGGGGAGCGAACAGG